rnacentral:rRNA from 1 species
UACAGAGGUGGCAAGCGUUGUUCGGAAUUACUGGGCGUAAAGGGCGCGUAGGCGGCCUUCUAAGUCAUGCGUGAAAUCCCCGGGCUCAACCCGGGAACUGCGUUUGAUACUGGAGGGCUUGAAUCCGGGAGAGGGAUGCGGAAUUCCAGGUGUAGCGGUGAAAUGCGUAGAUAUCUGGAGGAACACCGGUGGCGAAGGCGGCAUCCUGGACCGGCAUUGACGCUGAGGCGCGAAAGCCAGGGGAGCAAACGGG